rnacentral:sRNA from 1 species
UAAGCCUUCAGAGCAGUUCCAGGAGUCCAUUUACGGGAGGGGGGAGAUGAGCGCUGCUGAGGCUUGGGGGCUCAGGUCCCGCACCAUUCCCCCUCCGCGACAAUCUGAGAGAGCUCCAGUGGUUACUUUUCUCUACCUGUCCGUUCACCCUAAACUGUCACUCGUCAGUCUCACUCUGAAAAGAGACAGUAACUUGAAACGUUGUUCUAAACUCCUAGGCCCGUCCCCCAAACACCCUUUUGACUGGGACCCCCGCCCCUGCAUGGGACCUCGCGCAGAGGGGGGUGUGUGUGUGUGUGAGUGUAGAGGAAGGCUUGGCCUAAGGCCUCUCCUUCUCCCUCCCCUUGCCUCUGGGGUGGGGGUGGGGUGUUGUGGCUGUGUGUGUGGCUGUGGCUCCGUCCCGGGGGUUCUGUCACCCGGCUGUGUCCAGCCUCCUCUCCACCCCCCACACCUAAGAGUCACCAACCCGGGGUGUGAUUCACCACCCGCUGGAACCGUGCAACCUUUCCCCGAGGAAGAAGGAGGAGGUAGAAGCCAGUUGAGCAGAAAUCCUCUCAUUAACCACUGCGUCACGGUGUAGUGGAAGGGUGGGUGUUGUGGCUUUUUCCCUGUGACACAUACAUCCACACUCGCUCACCCUGUGCUCACUCACGGGGUCGGUGUGUGUUAUGUGUGUUGGGUGUGUGUGUGUCGGUGUCUUUGUUUGUGUGUCUACGCCUGUGUGUGUAUGUGUCACCCCGUAGGAGUGCGCCGGUCUCGGGGAAAUGCCCGGUUCCUUCGUGCCCACGGUCACCGCGAUCACAACCAGCCAGGACCUCCAGUGGCUUGUGCAACCCACCCUCAUCUCUUCCAUGGCCCAGUCCCAGGGGCAGCCACUGGCCUCCCAGCCCCCGGUCGUCGACCCCUACGACAUGCCGGGAACCAGCUACUCCACACCAGGCAUGAGUGGCUACAGCAGUGGCGGAGCGAGUGGCAGUGGUGGGCCUUCCACCAGCGGAACUACCAGUGGGCCUGGGCCUGCCCGCCCAGCCCGAGCCCGGCCUAGGAGACCCCGAGAGGAGACGGUGAGUAAGGGACAUCAGAACUUGGCCUGGGUAGGGGGAAGCAAGAGAGGCAGGAAGUUUCUUACGAAUGGAGGGGGGCUCCACUAAGGCCUCAGUGUUACAGAAACCCCAAGAUCCUUGCUACACGAGCGAGGACUGGAGGCUUGUUUUUUGGCUCUUGGGGGUUCUGAAAGAAGUAGAGGUUCGGGAUGGGUGGAGGAGUGCUGUAUCCCCAAAUCUCAUGGCCUCUAUCUCCCUGACUCAGCUCACCCCAGAGGAAGAGGAGAAGCGAAGGGUGCGCCGGGAACGAAAUAAACUAGCAGCAGCUAAAUGCAGGAACCGGCGGAGGGAGCUGACCGACCGACUCCAGGCGGUGAGGACAGGCCCUGGGGUGGGAGAGGGGAUGCUGAGGGGAGCUCUCUCCCCAUUCUCUGCCCCCUCUCCACCUGUACCCUUAUCCUGGGUUGAGAACUAGACGUUCCACACAUGGAACUAGGUACUGCUGUGGCCAGACUGGGUAGCCCCGGUACCCAGGUCUGUGUGGUAGCACAAACACAGACCCCCAUGGACUUAAGUCAACUCCUGGUCCCCCCCAUUUCCUGACCCCACGGACUACUCUCCUAGUCUUCAUUUCAUCCCGAGGGGCCACAUGGGGCCCUUGAGGAGAGGGGCGCUCCCAUCAUUUCUCCCAUCUGGUCUUCAGCAAGUAACAACCCAUUUUGCCUCAGUUUCUCCAUCUCUGCAAACCCUCAUCAAAUCUCCUGGGCUCUUUCUACCCUUAACACUCUGGAAAGCCUGUGAAAUGAAAUUAUUCCACCUCCUGCCCUAGCCACCCACAGCUCUCCUGGUGCUGGUGGCAUCCCCCAAAACCCACUCCCUUCCUACGUCCUCCCUUGGUCUGAGAGUUCCCUGCUGUAUGCCUGCAGGGUGAGCUGUUACUCCUUGAGGGAACAAGGGAAUUGUCAACUUUCCUUCUCUACUUUAUCUCUUCCCCGGGAGGUAGAGAGGCAGGGGUAAUAGAAGGGAACACAUUAAAAACACAUAACAGUGGCUCAUGCGUGUGAUCCCAGCACUUUGAGAGGCCAAGGCAGGAGGAUUGCUUGAGCCCAGGAGUUUGAGACCAGCCUGGGAAACAUAGGGAGGACUUGUCUCUACC